AACGAACGCUGGCGGCAUGCCUAACACAUGCAAGUCGAACGGGAUCCUGGCUUCGGUCAGGUGAGAGUGGCGGACGGGUGAGUAACGCGUGGGAACCUGCCCAGUGGUGGGGGAUAACUGCGGGAAACUGCAGCUAAUACCGCAUGAGCCCGAGAGGGGAAAGAUUUAUCGCCAUUGGAGGGGCCCGCGUUCGAUUAGGUAGUUGGUGAGGUAACGGCUCACCAAGCCGACGAUCGAUAGCUGGUCUGAGAGGAUGAUCAGCCACACUGGGACUGAGAUACGGCCCAGACUCCUACGGGAGGCAGCAGUGGGGAAUAUUGGACAAUGGGGGGCAACCCUGAUCCAGCAAUGCCGCGUGAGUGAUGAAGGCUCGGUUGUAAGAUCUUUGUCGGGACGA
rnacentral:rRNA from 1 species